rnacentral:rRNA from 1 species
CCUACGGGGCGCAGCAGUGAGGAAUAUUGGUCAAUGGCCGAGAGGCUGAACCAGCCAAGUCGCGUGAGGGAAGACGGCCCUACGGGUUGUAAACCUCUUUUGUCGGGGAGCAAAGCGAGUCACGUGUGACUCAUUGAGAGUACCCGAAGAAAAAGCAUCGGCUAACUCCGUGCCAGCAGCCGCGGUAAUACGGAGGAUGCGGGCGUUAUCCGGAUUUAUUGGGUUUAAAGGGUGCGUAGGCGGUCCGGAAAGUCAGCGGUAAAAGCCCGGGGCUCAACCCCGGCGAGCCGUUGAAACUGUCGGAC